CAGUAGCCGCGGUAAUACGAAGGGGGCUAGCGUUGCUCGGAAUGACUGGGCGUAAAGGGCGCGUGGGCGGAUUGUUUAGUUAGGCGUGAAAUUCCUGGGCUUAACCUGGGGACUGCGCUUAAUACAGGCAGUCUAGAGUGAGGAAGAGGGUUGUGGAAUUCCCAGUGUAGAGGUGAAAUUCGUAGAUAUUCGCAAGAACACUAGUGGCGAAGGCGGCUCACUGGCCCGGUACUGACGCUGAGGCGCGAAAGCGUGGGGAGCAAACAGGAUUAGAGACCCCAGUAGUCCCUGUCUCUUAUAC
rnacentral:rRNA from 1 species